rnacentral:rRNA from 1 species
UACAGAGGGGGCAAGCGUUGUUCGGAAUUACUGGGCGUAAAGGGCGCGUAGGCGGCCUGCUAAGUCGAACGUGAAAUCCCUGGGCUCAACCCAGGAACUGCGUCCGAUACUGGUUGGCUUGAAUCCGGGAGAGGGAUGCGGAAUUCCAGGUGUAGCGGUGAAAUGCGUAGAUAUCUGGAGGAACACCGGUGGCGAAGGCGGCAUCCUGGACCGGCAUUGACGCUGAGGCGCGAAAGCCAGGGGAGCAAACAGG